rnacentral:rRNA from 1 species
UUAUACGGUGAUGGCACGUUGAAUGCACCAGUUCCCAAGAGAUCACUGAAGUUAAGCAAUAUUGCGCGUGGUUAGUAUUCGGAUCGGUGACCAUCUCGGCAAUCGCGUACUGUUGGUU